GAUGAACGCUAGCGACAGGCUUAACACAUGCAAGUCGAGGGGCAGCGAGGGCGUAGCAAUACGCCUGUCGGCGACCGGCGCACUGGUGAGUAACACGUAUGCGACCUGCCCCCUACAGGGGUAUAACCCGUAGAAAUGCGGACUAAUCCCCCAUAGUCCUGGAGGCUGCAUGGCAUUCAGGGGAAAGGUCAGCCGGCAGGGGAUGGGCAUGCGGCGCAUUAGCUAGUUGGCGGGGCAACGGCCCACCAAGGCGACGAUGCGUAGGGGUUCGUGAGAGGAAGGUCCCCACACUGGUACUGAGACACGGACCAGACUCCUACGGAGGCAGCAGUGAGGAAUAUUGGUCAAUAGGGCGGCAGGCCUGAACCAAGCCAAGUACGCGUGAGGGAAGGACGGUCC
rnacentral:rRNA from 1 species